CACGUAGGAGGCGAGCGUUGUCCGGAAUCAUUGGGCGUAAAGAGCGCGCAGGCGGCUUGGCAAGUCGGGUGUGAAAUCCCCGGGGCUCAACCCCGGGACUGCAUUCGAUACUGUCAGGCUAGAGGUAGGUAGGGGAGAUCGGAAUUCCUGGUGUAGCGGUGAAAUGCGCAGAUAUCAGGAGGAACACCGGUGGCGAAGGCGCACAUCUGGCCCGAUACUGACGCUGAGGCGCGAAAGCGUGGGGAGCAAACAGG
rnacentral:rRNA from 1 species